CUUGGGGAGUACGUCCGCAAGGAUGAAACUAAAAGAAUUGGCGGGGAGCACCGCCAACGGGAGGAGCGUGCGGUUUAAUUGAUUCAACACCGGAAAACUCACCAAGGGCGACUGUUACAUGAAAGCCAGGCUAAUGACCUUGCUUGAUUUUCAGAGAGGUGGUGCAUGGCCGUCGUCAGUUCGUACCGUAAGGCGUUCUCUUAAGUGAGAUAACGAACGAGACCCUCAUCUAUAAUUGCUACUUCAUUCUCCGGAAUGGAGACACAUUAUCGAGACCGCUAGCAGGGGGUGGGGGAGAAGGAGAGGUCAACGGUAGGUCAGUAUGCCCCGAAUCUCUUGGGCUACACGCGCGCUACAAAGGAAAGGGACAAUGGGCUACGACGCCGAAAGGCGAAGUCAAUCUCGAAACCCGUCCGUAGUUCGGAUUGAGGCUUGUAACUCAGCCUCAUGAAGCUGGAUUCCGUAGUAAUCGCGAAUCAAAAACGCGCGGUGAAUAUGCCCCUGCUCCUU
rnacentral:rRNA from 1 species